rnacentral:lncRNA from 1 species
UUUUUUUUUUUUUUUUUCUUCUUCCCUUUUUUUGUAUUGAAGAAAAAGACAUAUGUCUGCACUGAAAUGGCUGUUGCCAUCUUACUCUCCCGUCUGGCUGUCACAUGGCUAAUUGUCCUAAAACAGCUGGAUGAGGCAAUAGCAUCUUUAAUGGCUCAGCUUAAAUAUGGUCAGGCAGAAUGAGUACAGCUCUAUGCCCCGUCCCCACACAGCAAAAUAUCUUCCAAGAAAAUGUGCUUUUAAUAAAUUUUGUAGCCCAUAAAUCUUUUUUCCUUUUUCACAUCAGUGUCUAUACUUUUUAUGAUAUCCCCAUGUAAGAGCUUUAGUUUCUUUCAGAGAUGUCUACAUAAACUGUUCUGAAAAAAAAAAAAAAAAGAUACUGCUUUAUUCAGGAUGCUGAGCAUUCUAGUUUGUGAUGAGAACUAGGGACAUGAUAUGCAGUAUAAUAAUGUGCAUUUACCUAGAAUUUUGUAAUCUGAAAAUUCAUCAACUCUUUCCCUCAUCUUCCUGUAGAAGUCUAAUAGAUAUUUAUGUGACAGCAACUUCAAAAUUUUGAGAGAGGGUAAUUUGUGAAUAAAUGGUAAUUUCCAUUCAUUCACUGGUUAAGAGAAAUAUUCUUAUUGCCAGAACAUCCCAUCUCUAGUCAUUCCUAAUAAAGGCUGCUUAGCAUCUACAGCUUAACAUAUAAGAUGCUUAGUUUCUACAGUGGGUGUGGGCUACAUGGAUUGGUUCUUUUCUGAAAGUUAAGCUGCUUAUUUUCUAAAUCAAGACUUAUGAAUGUACAGGCUGUGAUUCUCGAUUCUAAAACUGUCUUUGUUAAUUAUAUUCAUAUAAGUGUUCAAUCCCCUUUUAGAGUCUUCCUAAAUUACCUGCUUAAUAUUGUCCAGCAUCAGUGAUUUUCAUAGGUUAAUUAUUCCCUACAUAAAAGAGCGUGAGCUUUGUCCAGUCAAAAUUUGUUACCUUGUCAUUUGAUUAACUUUUCUCCUCUGGUUCAAAGUAGCAGAGUAAGGUGAGGAGUCAUUGGCCAUUUAUUUAACCCAUGUUCUCAGAGAAUCUAUUUCUCUAUCUCUGUCUGUCUGUCUAUCUAUCUACCCACCUAUCUACACCAGGUCUGCAUCUCCAUUAACAUGGGAUGACUGGAAGCAAAUAUAAUGGGAGAGACAGAAGGAUUACCAGUUUUAUCUUACUCUGUCCUUCCACUGUAUAUGUAAAACACAGUUUGAUCUCAGUGCAGCCCUCCCUGUAACAUGUGAGGUAACCCAGGAGGGGCGUGUUUGAUUUGGCUGAAGAAUUAGAGGGAAGGUCAGGGAGGAACAGUGGUGGAUCCUCAUAGUAUAUCUUUUUGUGCUAUUUCCUUUCUUCCAACCCUACAGAGAUGUUGCAGAAUUCUCUUGCGUUAAACAUUGUAUCUGUACAAGUAGUCUAUUAGUUCAUAAAAGUCAUGUAUUUAUUUUACUCACCUCCAAAGACUCCUGCUAUAAUCUGUUCCCAGGAUCAUAGAACAACUGUUCCAUUUAGGUGAUCUUUUAAUUUUCCUUUAAUCCUUUAAGUUCUUUUGUCCCUCUAAUGUUUAAGCUCAUUAAACCUGGAGAGGAAUUACUGUUUUUAUGAAACAUAGUAGGUGCUUAAUAAAAUAUCUGUGGAAUGAAUUGCAAGAUCAAGUCCAACUUGGCACUCAAGGCCAGGACAUCUAGCUACAUUUUUGAUAGCUUCAGCUGGUUGAUUUAUAGAUGUAUUCAAUUAAAAUAUAAGGGGGGAUAAACGGAGUUUGACAUUAAUACAUACACACUAUGAAAUAUAGAAUAGAUGACCCACAAGGACCUACUGUAUAGCACAAAGAACUCAUAUUCUGUAGUGACCCAUGUGAGAAAAUUAUCUGAAAAAGAAUGAAUAUAUGUAUGUGUAUAUAUCUAUAUCUAUAUAUAGAUAUAUACACAUAUUAUACACACACACACACACACACAUAACUAAAUCAUUUUGCUAUACACCUGGAACACAACACUGUAAAGCAACUAUACUCCAAAGAAAUAAAGAAAUAAAUAAAAUACUCAAAAUGAACUUCUUGAUUCCAUUUUCAAAUGAGCCCCUCACUCCAAAUCUUUCUCACCUCAGAAGAAGGCAUCAUUACCCACUGAGUCACCUAAGCUGGAAAACUUGGAGACAUCUUUUUUCUUCCCUUUCUUUCAUCUGCCACAUUUAAUUUAUCAGUAAUUUAUUUUGGUUUUAGCUUCAGAAUAUCAUACUGAAUCUGUGCAUACCUCUUAAUCCUCUUUGCUGCCUACAUAGUCUGGAAAACCAAGAUCUCACCUAGACUCCUAGUGUAGCACCUGGACAAUUUUUCUCUCUUCUGCCUUUUCCUUAGUCAUUCACUCACUUGAACCUUUCUCAUCCCCACCAUCCUCAGGCCAAUGGUCCCUGACCUCCUGAAGCUUACAUUCUUAUGUGGGUGAGAGAGCAGUGUUAGAGACAAAUGAUCAUAUUAUCCACAAUUGGUGGUUAAAUGCUGUAAAGAAAAUGAAUAAGCAACCCCGACAAAGAGCAGUAGGAGCGUACCUUGAUUUUUCUCAUCCUUUCAGAGGGACCUGCUGUGAGAAGCCUUUCUUAAACAGGGUCCAUUAUCAUUGUCUUUGCACAUAGUGGAACCUCAGUCUUGGUUAUUGUUGGAUGGAUGAAUCUCACGCUCAUCCUUGCUUUCUAAUUUUAUCUCCCUGGUAAGUCAGAUUUUAUUCUUCACUGUAGAUACUAAAAAUGCCAGUCUUCUAACAAAAGUUAUAAAUGAAGAAACCAGGGUAUGUGUGUGUGUGUGUGUGUGUGUGUGUGUGUGUGUGUGUUCUUUUAAGCUAAAAUCAACUUGAAUUUAAAUAUAGCUUCUUUAUACCCUGAAUUGCUCAUUCCUUUUAUUUUCUGCCUCAGGGAUCAGAUUCUAUAUUGGUUUAUUUUCAAUGACCAAAAAUUUAGAGCCAGUUGUCAGAUGGAAUAGCUGAAAUGUCAGUUACAAUAGAGCACAGGUAUUAGUUUAAAAUUUGCCUUUUGGUUCAUAUUGCAAGUUGUUUAAAAAUAAAUAUAUCAUUUAAGGUAUAUAUAUAUAUAUAUAUAUAUAUAUAUAUAUAUAUAUAUAGGUUUAUAGUUUGUUUCUGUAUUUUAAGAUUGACAAUCACCAUUCAAGUGGCUUGACAAGACUAUUCUUAGCACAAACUACUUAUCUCUUUUGAAUUACAAAAUCUUAAGUUCUCAUUUAUCUCACAUUAUCCAUCUAUAUUGUAAAAAAGUAGAAAUAAUUAAGCAAUUCCAUCUAAUGAUCCUAUUUUAGAUUCAGAGAGCAUUUUUAAUUAGAUGGCACAGAGAGAGACACAGAUACGGAUAUUUUUUCUUUUUUUCUUUUAUUUAUUUAUUUUGUCUUUUUUAGGGCCACACCCUGGGCAUAUGGAGGUUCCCAGGCUAGGGGUCUAACCAAAGCUGUAGCUGCUGGCCUAUGCCAGAGCCACAGCAAUGCCAAAUCCAAGCUGCGUUUGCAAACUGCACCACAGCUCACAGCAACGCCGGAUCCUUAACCCACUGAGCAAGGCCAGAGAUCAAACCUGCAACCUCAUGGUUCCUAGUCGGAUUCGUUUCCACUGCGCCACAACGGGAACUCGCAGAUAUUUUUUCUUAUUGGCCAUCAAAUCAGAUAUGUCUCCUAAUUAUCUCUAUGUCUGUCUGUCUAUCUAUCUAUCUAUCGUCCCCUUCCCUCUCUCUCUUUUUUAUUUCCCUCUAUGUUAUUGUUUUUGUUUUUUUUUUUUUUUCUUUUUCUUUCUUUUUCCAUUCUGGGCUGAACCCAUGGCACAUGGAAGUCCCCAAGCUAGAGGCUGAAUCAUAGUUACAGCUGCUGGCCUACACUACAGCCACAGCAACACUGGAUCCAAGCUGCAUCCGUGACCUACACCAGAGCUCACGGCAAUGCCAGAUCCUUAACCCAUUGAGAAAGGCCAGGAACUGAACCUGUAUCCUCAUGGAUCCUAGUUGGGUUCAUUACUACUGAGCCACUAUGGGAAAUUCCUCCCCCUGUUUUAAAUGAUUCUUCCCAGAGAAAUAUUUAUAAUGCAUCAUCCACAGACUAUGGAAAACUGAAACACUAUCUUUUCUCUUCUGCCCAGGGAAUCUAGAUAAGUAGCAGAAACUCAACCCAAGCCAUAGAUAGACUUCCAAUAUUGACUCUAUGACAUAUUAAAGAUAUAUGUCUCUCAUAUUCUUUUAGCGUAUUAAGAAGUCCUGUUUAUUAUUAAUGCUGCCACAGCUGAGGUAAUGAAAGUAACAAUCCAUAAGUCAGCAUAUAGAUACGUUACGCUUUAUCAACGUGCCUCCUACCAACAAGGAUAUAAGAGCAUUUUGUAUAUUGUGCUUUUGUAAACAUAGAGAAAUUCUGAAACAAAUAAAUAGAAAAAUGUAUUAUUAAAAGUUUAUUCUUUGAAGUAAAAAUUUCCUGAUAGUGUAAAAUAAAACUCAGACUACAAAUUAUAUAAAAGCGUAUGCACAUUCAGCCAUAAAAACACAUAAUACAGAAAGACCAAACAAUAUGGCAUAAAUAUUAAGUAUAAGUAUAUAUU